AGUGAACGCUGGCGGUAGGCCUAACACAUGCAAGUCGAACGGCAGCACAGUAAGAGCUUGCUCUUACGGGUGGCGAGUGGCGGACGGGUGAGGAAUACAUCGGAAUCUACUUUUUCGUGGGGGAUAACGUAGGGAAACUUACGCUAAUACCGCAUACGACCUACGGGUGAAAGCAGGGGAUCUUCGGACCUUGCGCGAUUGAAUGAGCCGAUGUCGGAUUAGCUAGUUGGCGGGGUAAAGGCCCACCAAGGCGACGAUCCGUAGCUGGUCUGAGAAGAUGAUCAGCCACACUGGAACUGAGACACGGUCCAGACUCCUACGGGAGGCAGCAGUGGGGAAUAUUGGACAAUGGGCGCAAGCCUGAUCCAGCCAUACCGCGUGGGUGAAGAAGGCCUUCGGGUUGUAAAGCCCUUUUGUUGGGAAAGAAAAGCAGCAGGUUAAUACCCCGCUGUUCUGACGGUACCCAAAGAAUAAGCACCGGCUAACCUCGU
rnacentral:rRNA from 1 species